rnacentral:miRNA from 1 species
GUGCCAGCUGGGAAGGGCCCCGGGGAGCCGAAGAGCAGGACGUGGCGUGAUGGCGCCCGGCUGUUCGCUUCACCCUCCCCUUGCCCCAACCAGCGACUCAUGCGCCGC